GAAAAACUCCGGUGGUACAGGAUGGGCCCGCGUCUGAUUAGCUAGUUGGCGGGGUAACGGCCCACCAAGACGACGAUCAGUAGCCGGCUUGAGAGAGUGAACGGCCACAUUGGGACUGAGACACGGCCCAAACUCCUACGGGAGGCAGCAGUGGGGAAUAUUGCACAAUGGGGGAAACCCUGAUGCAGCAACGCCGCGUGAGUGAAGAAGUAUUUCGGUAUGUAAAGCUCUAUCAGCAGGGAAGAAAAUGACGGUACCUGACUAAGAAGCCCCGGCUAACUACGUGCCAGCAGCCGCGGUAAUACGUAGGGGGCAAGCGUUAUCCGGAUUUACUGGGUGUAAAGGGAGCGCAGGCGGUGCGGCAAGUCAGAUGUGAAAACCCGGGGCUCAACCCCGGGACUGCAUUUGAAACUGUCGGACUAGAGUGCCGGAGAGGUAAGUGGAAUUCCUAGUGUAGCGGUGAAAUGCGUAGAUAUUAGGAGGAACACCAGUGGCGAAGGCGGCUUACUGGACGGUAACUGACGCUGAGGCUCGAAAGCGUGGGGAGCAAACAGGAUUAGAUACCCUGGUAGUCCACGCCGUA
rnacentral:rRNA from 1 species